GCAGCAGUAAGGAAUAUUGGUCAAUGGACGCAAGUCUGAACCAGCCAUGCCGCGUGAAGGAUGAAGGUCCUCUGGAUUGUAAACUUCUUUUAUAUGGGACGAAACCUCUUAUUCUUAAGAGACUGACGGUACCAUAGGAAUAAGCACCGGCUAACUCCGUGCCAGCAGCCGCGGUAAUACGGAGGGUGCAAGCGUUAUCCGGAUUCACUGGGUUUAAAGGGUGCGUAGGAGGGCAGGUAAGUCAGUGGUGAAAUCUUCGAGCUUAACUCGGAAACUGCCGUUGAUACUAUCUGUCUUGAAUACCGUGGAGGUGAGCGGAAUAUGUCAUGUAGCGGUGAAAUGCUUAGAUAUGACAUAGAACACCGAUUGCGAAGGCAGCUCACUACACGAAUAUUGACUCUGAGGCACGAAAGCGUGGGGAUCAAACAGGAUUAGAUAC
rnacentral:rRNA from 1 species